rnacentral:rRNA from 1 species
CCUACGGGAGGCAGCAGAGGGGGAUAUUGCACAAUGGGGGAAACCCUGAUGCAGCGACGCCGCGUGAGUGAAGAAGUAUUUCGGUAUGUAAAGCUCUAUCAGCAGGGAAGAAAAUGACAGUACCUGACUAAGAAGCCCCGGCUAACUACGUGCCAGCAGCCGCGGUAAUACGUAGGGGGCAAGCGUUAUCCGGAUUUACUGGGUGUAAAGGGAGCGUAGACGGGUAUGUAAGUCUGGAGUGAAAGCCCGGGGCCCAACCCCGGGACUGCUUUGGAAACUGUGUGACUGGAGUGCAGGAGGGGCAGGCGGAAUUCCUGGUGUAGCGGUGAAAUGCGUAGAUAUCAGGAGGAACACCGGCGGCGAAGGCGGCCUGCUGGACUGAAACUGACGUUGAGGCUCGAAAGCGUGGGGAGCAAACAGGAUUAGAUACCCUAGUAGUC